rnacentral:rRNA from 1 species
UACGAAGGGGGCUAGCGUUGCUCGGAAUCACUGGGCGUAAAGCGCACGUAGGCGGCUUUCUAAGUCAGGGGUGAAAUCCUGGAGCUCAACUCCAGAACUGCCUUCGAUACUGGCGAUCUUGAGUCCGGAAGAGGUGAGUGGAACUCCUAGUGUAGAGGUGGAAUUCGUAGAUAUUAGGAAGAACACCAGUGGCGAAGGCGGCUCACUGGUCCGGUACUGACGCUGAGACGCGAAAGCGUGGGAGGC